CUACGGGUUGCAGCAGUGGGGAAUAUUGGACAAUGGGGGAAACCCUGAUCCAGCAAUGCCGCGUGUGUGAAGAAGGCCUGCGGGUUGUAAAGCACUUUCGGUUGGGAGGACUGCUUCUAGCACUAAUAUUGUUGGAAGUUGACGUUACCUUCAGAAGAAGCACCGGCUAACUCCGUGCCAGCAGCCGCGGUAAUACGGAGGGUGCAAGCGUGUAAUCGGAAUUACUGGGCGUAAAGCGCGCGUAGGCGGCUAGGUCAGUCGGGUGUGAAAGCCCCGGGCUUAACCUGGGAACUGCAUCCGAUACUGUCUAGCUUGAGUACAGGAGAGGAGAGUGGAAUUCCACAUGUAGCGGUGAAAUGCGUAGAUAUGUGGAGGAACACCAAUGGCGAAGGCAGCUCUCUGGCCUGAUACUGACGCUGAGGUGCGAAAGCGUGGGGAGCAAACAGGAUUAGAUACCCCUGUAGUC
rnacentral:rRNA from 1 species